CUUUUGCAAGAAAAUAAUUUGACAGUCGAUUUGCUGACAAGGGAGGAAUUUGCAUCCUGGAUUAAAAAAAAAAAAAGGCCGAGAGGAGCUUGGGAACGGUUGCUAGGGGUGGGUAAUGGUGAAAAAGAAGGGGGGUGCCGAGGAUCGGCUAAGGGAGGGGGCGAGGGUGGGGAUCCAUGCAAAAGGUAAGGCCAGGUUGCCGCGGCUCGGCCCCGAGUGGGCUGCGGCCGGGGGAGGGGCGAGAGAUGCAUAUGUAUUUCGGGCUCCCCAGCACACCCCCUUCCCUCCCAGCGAUGGCUGAGGCGGUGCAUGCAGACGGGGACCCCACCGACCCCCCGUCGCACCCCCCGAGCAGAGACUGGGCUUCCUGUCGUUUUGCCAUGCACUUGUUGCAGAAGCAGCCAAGGCCCCGGCUCCGGAGGAUGCGGAAGGAGGAAGGCGCCAGAGCAGCCCGGCCCUGAGCACACCACCCUCGCCUCCCGCAGCAGGUACCAUCUCUGGGGUUCUUGGCACCAGCCCAGUGUGUGGCCGAGGGGUGGGCAUCAUUUCUCUGACCUUGGGGUUUCGGAAAUUCCCAAGAGGGGGAGGAGGGCUGCUCUGGGCCUCUUUCCUAGAAUCUGCACAUGGGAGUUCAGUGUCAUCCAGGAUGGGGCAGAGGGCAUCCUGUCUUGUCUCCCUCUGCAGAGAGGUUGCACAUAGUUAAGAAUCCAUUGCUGGGUAUAGUGGCACAGGCCAGGAGGCUGAGGCAGGAGGAUUGCUGGGAGUUUGAAGCCAGCCUGGGUUAUUCAGUGAGAACUUGUCUGAAAACCACAAACAGGGCUGGGAAUUUGACUCAGUGGUUCCGCCGCCUACUUCACAAGCACAAGGUCCUGAGUUCGAUCCCCAGUACCAAAAAAAAAAAAAACACAACAAAGGGUUGGGGAUGCAAGUGCAAGGUUCUGAGUUCGAUCCCCUGUACUGGACGGAGGAAAAAAAAGAAAAGAAAAUGCUUUUAAACCAACAACAAAAAGAAUACAAAGGACAGAGGCCCUGUGUGUUGAGAAGGAUUUGGAAUGGCUGGGUCUGUGGAGAAUCGCAGCAGAGAGGCCGUGGGAUCCCACAGAGAGGGCCAGGGCCCAUUCUUGAGGAUCUCCCACUGGCCCCGGGGCUUCCUAGUCAUUUCGCAUACCGUGGGCUGUUCUGGGCUCUCUUUACCUCUAGGAAAUGCGUACGUAGCCAGCAUUCCUCGGUCGGGUCCAACACAGGUGCUGGUGGGGGUCG
rnacentral:lncRNA from 1 species